rnacentral:rRNA from 1 species
UACAGAGGUCUCGAGCGUUGUUCGGAUUCAUUGGGCGUAAAGGGUGCGUAGGUGGUGUGGUAAGUCUGGUGUGAAAUCCCGGGGCUCAACCCCGGAACUGCACUGGAUACUGCCAUGCUUGAGUACUGGAGAGGAGAUUGGAAUUUACGGUGUAGCAGUGAAAUGCGUAGAUAUCGUAAGGAAGACCAGUGGCGAAGGCGAAUCUCUGGACAGUUACUGACACUGAGGCACGAAGGCCAGGGGAGCAAACGGG